UACGGAGGGAGCUAGCGUUGUUCGGAAUUACUGGGCGUAAAGCGCACGUAGGCGGCUAUUCAAGUCAGAGGUGAAAGCCCGGAGCUCAACUUCGGAACUGCCUUUGAAACUAGAUAGCUAGAAUCCUGGAGAGGUGAGUGGAAUUCCGAGUGUAGAGGUGAAAUUCGUAGAUAUUCGGAAGAACACCAGUGGCGAAGGCGGCUCACUGGACAGGUAUUGACGCUGAGGUGCGAAAGCGUGGGGAGCAAACAGG
rnacentral:rRNA from 1 species